rnacentral:rRNA from 1 species
GAUGAACGCUGGCGGCGUGCCUAACACAUGCAAGUCGAGCGAACAGAUGAGGAGCUUGCUCCCCUGACGUUAGCGGCGGACGGGUGAGUAACACGUGGAUAACCUACCUCUAAGACUGGGAUAACUUCGGGAAACCGGAGCUAAUACCGGAUAAUAUAUUGAACCGCAUGGUUCAAUAGUGAAAGACGGUUUUGCUGUCACUUAUAGAUGGAUCCGCGUCGCAUUAGCUAGUUGGUAAGGUAACGGCUUACCAAGGCAACGAUGCGUAGCCGACCUGAGAGGGUGAUCGGCCACACUGGAACUGAGACACGGUCCAGACUCCUACGGGAGGCAGCAGUAGGGAAUCUUCCGCAAUGGGCGAAAGCCUGACGGAGCAACGCCGCGUGAGUGAUGAAGGUCUUCGGAUCGUAAAGCUCUGUUAUUAGGAAAGAACAAAUGUGUAAGUAACUAUGCACGUCUUGACGGUACCUAAUCAGAAAGCCACGGCUAACUACGUG